rnacentral:rRNA from 1 species
AUUGAACGCUGGCGGCAGGCCUAACACAUGCAAGUCGAACGAGUGGCGGACGGGUGAGUAAUGUCUGGGAAACUGCCUGAUGGAGGGGGAUAACUACUGGAAACGGUAGCUAAUACCGCAUACCAUCAGAUGUGCCCAGAUGGUGUUAGCUAGUUGGUGGGGUGACGGCUCACCAAGGCGACGAGCACUAGCUGGUCUGAGAGGAUGACCAGCCACACUGUAGCUGAGGCACGGUCCAGUCUCCUACGGGAGGCAGCAGUGGAGAAUGUUGCACAAUGGGCGCAAUCCUGAUGCAGCCAUGCCGCGUGUAUGAAGAAGGCCUUCGGGUUGUAAAGUACUUUCAGCGGUGAAGCGUUACCCGCAGAAGAAGCACCGGCUAACUCCGUGCCAGCCGCCGCGGUAAUAC